AACUAUCGCUUUAAAUGUAUUGACAAUGUAUGUUUAUGCUUUGAAACAUCAUUUAAAAGUAUAUAAUUGGAUCUGCAUUAUUACAGCGAAAGCUUAAGUUUUACUAGAGUAACCAGUGUUUCUGCUGUGAGUGCACAGAGAAGCACAUGAUGAAGAUGUGCAGAUGUGUGUGUGUCUCGUCAUCAUCAUCAUCACGGCUGUCUGUCUCUCUGAUAAUCUGUCGUGUGUCUGUCAGCACUUUGCAGAAGCAGACAGACGGAUUGGACUUAAAUCCUCCAGUACGACACAGAUGGACAAAACACACAGACCUUGGAGAAGGUGAACACACACACACACACACACACACACACACACACAGCGCUCUGAUGCUCCGUAAGGCUGAAUGGGGUUUUCACAGACUCUACCAUUCAAAGAGAAAACACACCACAAAUGAAUCCACAGAAACCUGGCGUUUAGAAGCACCGCUGCGAUUCUGUGAAGACAGGAGGAAAUCAAAGCUGACGACGACGAUGAUGAAAUGGAAUCUGAUUGGUGGGUUUUUGCAUCAGUCGGUAGGAGGCGGAGUCUGUCAUUGGCUGACGUCCCUGUCAGUCACGGAGGGGCGGAGCAACAGACGAGCACAGCUCGAUCUCGCGUCUUUACUUCAUAGAUCUGCGUAUAAAAAUCAUUUGGAUAAAGUCUCUCGGGUCAUAUUCUGAUUUGCCUAUACCUGCGUAUUUACAAACUCAGGACACGCUCACGGCUGUAGUGACGACUGGUAAACAUCUCACGGAUAAGUGCUAAGAAACCUCUUGUACCUGGACAGAAAUAAGAACGCAUCAUAACA